AAAGUAAGGAUCAGAGGUUUGAGAGAGGAGGACAGAGAAUGGAGGAAGGGGAAAAAAGACCCGCAAAUAAUGUACUUGUUUUUCCAAAGAAUGAUGCCAAAUUUAAUGAGUGGCUGAAAAACAGUUAAGAUAUAGAAGAGUACUAAGCUCUCUGUAUUUAAAGAAUUUGGCCAUCUCCACACCCCAGAGGGAGGCUGACUGGGGCUUGAGGGAUGAUUGGGAGUGAUCACACAUACAAAUACCUGUAUCAAGAAGCAAGCUGCAAUAGGAUCUAGUUCCACCUGCUCCUGUUCAGUAAGCAUACUCUAUUGGGAAAUGGAUUUUUGACAUGUACCUCAGCUCUGAAAACUGGUGUUAUCCUCGCUAAUCUGGGUUUACCAGGACUGCUUCAGCUGGACGAGGUAUUUGUCAGACUUCAGUGAGAAAAUCAGGUUUUGAUGCUACUUCGUCAAAUUUCAUGCAGCCUCUUGGGCAGCUGAAAUCUGUUCUGUCAUGCUGCAUCAGCUGCCAUAAAGCUUCACUCACUGGGCUUCAGCCCACUGUGAAUCUCAUGUGGUAUAAAAAGACAUCAAGAUAGUGGGACCAUGAAGUUGGCAUUUCAAACUGAGUUUGCCUCAGUGCGCCUUUCCACAGUUGAUGCACUAAGAAGUAACCCAGUCUUACAGGAGGUUAUCUUGCUGUAUACCCGGAAAAACAUUCCUUGAGGACUGAAAUGCAUUUGAUUUAGUCUGAGCAAACAAUAAUGUCAAGUCUAAGGGCUAUCAUGUACCCAGGAUUUGUUGAACACAUUCUCUUUUCCUACUGGAGAUUAUUUCUGCAUGCAGUAUGAGAAUUUUUUACAUUUGUCCAGGAUUUCUCUGUGUCUGGUGAUGCUAUCAAGGCCCACAGAGCACAGACUUUGGCUGAGUACCAUUUAUUCAGUGAAUAUGAUACUUUCAGAAAAUGCUGUACUUGCUGUGUAUUUGUGAUACUCUGUUGCUGCACAGUGGGUCUGGGGAUUCUUGAAGGGUUUGGACGAAAUUUCUUUGAAUGUACAACUACACAGCUCUUGUUUUCUGCUCUUAGACGUGUUGGACAAAUAGUGUGUGCACACUUACUUCUAUCAGUGAAUUCCUAAAAAUGUGACAGCCUUAACCCUGUGUCUGUCUGCUAACUACUUGUCUGUUCUGGGUUUGAGAUGACCUAGGAUUUCCUUGCACACUUUCUGGCACAGGUUGAUGACAGCAAUGUGCUGCAUAGAUUUCUGUGUUGUACUGACCCCUCCUUCCCAGGCCACAGAAGACUCGCCUGGGUGUGAGAACUGAUGCAAGAUCUAGAGCUGACCAUGGACAUUGGCUGGGAGCUGGUGAAAGGACGUGGCAUGCUUGCAGCAGCUUACAGUAGAAAGUAGCAUGUUGCAGCAGCCAUCUCCUUAACAUGGAUUUCACCUUCUGAUAUGGUGAAUUGCAUAACCCAGGUGAGCGGGGAUGGAUCCAGUCACUCCUCUCACCUCUCUCCCAUUGCAGCGGGACAUGGCUGUGGCCAGCUGCAGCCUUUGAGACUGCCUGCUCGUGGCUCCCUGUGCCCCUUGCCAUCUGAAAUCUUCUUUCUUAGCUCCCAGACACUAGUGUUACCCCAUGUACUUUCGUUCUUUGGUCGCAUUCUUUCCUCAUCACUUCCCAAAAUGAGCAUCCAGGUUUUCUCUUGGUGAGGUCAGAUUAAACAGCACCAGGAAAACACAUGGCUGGUGUCGGGUCAGCGCUGAGUUUCAGGGGCAGGGAAGGUGUAACGUAGUUAAUCAUUAGCAAGCACGGCCCCUUCCCUUCCCGGCACAGGGCCCGCUGGGAGGUUAUUGAUCUGUCAGCAGUCUGCAGGGCCUCUGCUGAGGACAAGAUGGAGUGGUGCCUUCCAAAGCAGGGAUCGAUUGCCUCGGCGUGUGCGCAGCAAGGGGGCUGUUGCAAGCGAAGGCCCAUGUCCGUGCUGAUCCUGGGUACAUCUGCCACAGGCUGACACAGGAGCAAUUAGUGCUGAGCUGAAUGUGCCUUUGUGCUGGUGUGGUGUCCCACUUUGCAUUGUUAAUGCCUCCUGGCUGUUGUGAUGGUGUGGCAGAGAACAAGAGGCAAUUUUAGAUAAAUAUGUUUUAAUCCUGGGGUGACUAUACACGAGGAAAUUGCUAAGGACAUAAAUGUAACAAGAGUCACACUGGAUCAGACAUAUGCCUGCUUAGCUCAGUGUUACUCCUCUUGUGACACAACAAAUGCCUUGGGAAUUAUCUAGAAGAGGGUCAGUGUAACAACAUCAGUACUCCAGGAUAUUGUCCCCCUGAUCAGAAGAAAAUUCCUGAACCACUAGCCUGUCUUUUCUCAUCCCAAGCUAUCAUCUGGCUACAGGGUUUUGCUUGCCUGGUUUGUCCUACCCUGCAGGAGGGGGCCUGGAAAUCAGGACCAUAAGUAACAAUCAGUCAGCUGAAAGGAAUGUGCUCAAGCUUGUAGGCCACAAACCUUGGGAGGACAAGGAUCGUGAAUAGAUAACAACAGACAGGAUGAGUCAGGCUGAGAAAAGAUAAGGGAUGAGGAACAGAUGGUGCCAAGGAGAAGUAACACGUUGCUGUUAAUUGAUGACUGUAAAAACUUACUUAGUAAGUGUCCUUUGUUUGUAGUUAACCAAUUAGGGAUUGCCUAGUAUGUAAUGCUUAGCUUAAAGAACCGAUCUGUUUAAAGCACGCAGCUUCUGAAAACAUAUAUAAACUCGUGAUUGUGUACAAUAAAUUGACAUUUGCUUGCA